rnacentral:rRNA from 1 species
AAAUUGAAGAGUUUGAUCAUGGCUCAGAUUGAACGCUGGCGGCAGGCCUAACACAUGCAAGUCGAACGGUAACAGAAAGAAGCUUGCUUCUUUGCUGACGAGUGGCGGACGGGUGAGUAAUGUCUGGGAAAC